CAGUCGCCGCGGGAAUACGUAGGGUGCGAGCGUUAAUCGGAAUUACUGGGCGUAAAGGGCGCGUAGGCGGGUUUUUAAGUCAGAGGUGAAAUCCCAAGGCUCAACCUUGGAACUGCCUUUGAUACUGGAAAUCUUGAGUCCGGGAGAGGUGAGUGGAACUGCGAGUGUAGAGGUGAAAUUCGUAGAUAUUCGCAAGAACACCAGUGGCGAAGGCGGCUCACUGGCCCGGUACUGACGCUGAGGCGCGAAAGCGUGGGGAGCAAACAGGAUUAGAGACCCCCGUAGUCCCUGUCUCUUAUAC
rnacentral:rRNA from 1 species